rnacentral:rRNA from 1 species
CCUACGGGUGGCAGCAGUGAGGAAUAUUGGUCAAUGGACGCGAGUCUGAACCAGCCAAGUAGCGUGAAGGAUGACUGCCCUAUGGGUUGUAAACUUCUUUUAUAAGGGAAUAAAGCGAUCCACGUGUGGCUUUUUGUAUGUACUUUAUGAAUAAGGAUCGGCUAACUCCGUGCCAGCAGCCGCGGUAAUACGGAGGAUCCGAGCGUUAUCCGGAUUUAUUGGGUUUAAAGGGAGCGUAGGUGGAUUGUUAAGUCAGUUGUGAAAGUUUGCGGCUCAACCGUAAAAGUGCAGUUGAAACUGGCAGUCUUGAGUACAGUAGAGGUAGGCGGAAUUCGUGGUGUAGCGGUGAAAUGCUUAGAUAUCACGAAGAACUCCGAUUGCGAAGGCAGCUUACUGGACUGCAACUGACACUGAUGCUCGAAAGUGUGGGUAUCAAACAGGAUUAGAUACCCCUGUAGUC